rnacentral:rRNA from 1 species
GACGAACGCUGGCGGCGUGCUAAUACAUGCAAGUCGAGCGAGCUUGCCUAGAUGAAUUUGGUGCUUGCACCAAAUGAAACUAGAUACAAGCGAGCGGCGGACGGGUGAGUAACACGUGGGUAACCUGCCCAAGAGACUGGGAUAACACCUGGAAACAGAUGCUAAUACCGGAUAACAACACUAGACGCAUGUCUAGAGUUUAAAAGAUGGUUCUGCUAUCACUCUUGGAUGGACCUGCGGUGCAUUAGCUUGUUGGUGGGGUAACGGCCUACCAAGGCGAUGAUGCAUAGCCGAGUUGAGAGACUGAUCGGCCACAAUGGGACUGAGACACGGCCCAUACUCCUACGGGAGGCAGCAGUAGGGAAUCUUCCACAAUGGGCGCAAGCCUGAUGGAGCAACACCGCGUGAGUGAAGAAGGGUUUCGGCUCGUAAAGCUCUGUUGUUAAAGAAGAACACGUAUGAGAGUAACUGUUCAUACGUUGACGGUAUUUAACCAGAAAGUCACGGCUAACUACGUGCCAGCAGCCGCGGUAAUACGUAGGUGGCAAGCGUUAUCCGGAUUUAUUGGGCGUAAAGAGAGUGCAGGCGGUUUUCUAAGUCUGAUGUGAAAGCCUUCGGCUUAACCGGAGAAGUGCAUCGGAAACUGGAUAACUUGAGUGCAGAAGAGGGUAGUGGAACUCCAUGUGUAGCGGUGGAAUGCGUAGAUAUAUGGAAGAACACCAGUGGCGAAGGCGGCUACCUGGUCUGCAACUGACGCUGAGACUCGAAAGCAUGGGUAGCGAACAGG